rnacentral:misc_RNA from 1 species
UUUCCGUAGGUGAACCAGCGGAAGGAUCAUUAUUGAAUACGUUUGGUUCUGAUGCUGGCUCUUCACUGAGCAUGUGCUCGAUCCAUAACUAUUUAUCUUCUCUUGUGCACCUUUUGUAGUCUUUCAGAGCAAGUGAUAACUCUCGCAGCAAUGCGGUUUGGGGGACUUGGGCGUGAGCCCUUCCCCUGCGUUUGCUUCUUUGGAGGGCUAUGUUUUCAUAUACACUAUAAAGUUACAGAAUGUCUUUUAAAGAUUGUGCUAGUCGCAGUCAUUAAACCUAUACAACUUUCAGCAACGGAUCUCUUGGCUCUC